rnacentral:tRNA from 1 species
GGGGUUGUGGCUCAGUGGUAGAGUGCUUGCCUAGCACACAUGAGGCCCUGGGUUUGAUCCUCAGCACCACA